GUGUGUGUGUGUGUGUGUGUGCGUGUGUGAUUGCCUUGCCUGAUUGCCCCAGGGGGCUAAUAGCGAGGGUAAAUUAUGCCUCUCUGCUAAACAGUAGGGCAGGAAAGAGUACAUGUGGUCCUCCAUUUUACAACGAAAACAGCAAUAAUUGCCUGCGUCUGAAAUGACUAAAAGCACAUGCGGCCAUUUCCUGUUCAUGUCCCAUUUUUUUUUCUUUUUAAAUAAAAAAAUAAAAACUCUCCACUUAUUUCUUUUAUUUCUGCCAUUUGCUGAUCUCUUCAAAAUAGCACCACAGUCAGUAGUGGAAAAUCUUGAACUGGAAAUUACCUCCACUAAUUGUAUGAAGAGCUCAGGGAGGAACGUGGAGAAGCUGGUUUCAUACGCAGAGCUGCUUCUGAACCAAUAAGGAAUGUAAGGAUUUAUCAAACACCACUGAACACCAGCAUUCUCCAUUAAACACCACCGUUCUGCAUUAAACACCACCAUUCUGCAUUAAAUACCACCUUUCUACCUCACACCUUUAAGCUUUUGAUUUAUACAUCCGACACCAACAUCCCCUUUAGAAGCGAAGAGUGUGAGCCUCGAGCAUCAACCUUCACACGAUCAUCAACCUUCAGUUCAUCAAACACCAACAUUCAUCCAUCCAUCAAAUAAUAUUAAACACCCGUAGAUGAGAUCAUUAAAUGCCCAACAAACACCAACAUUGUCCACACUUUCUCGAGCAAACCACAACCGUCUCCAUCAAUGACCAACCUCCUUAAUCAAACCACAGUCUCCACAACUAAACACCAGCAAUCUCCAACAAACCAUGUGUGGGUUCAGUCUUUCAAACUUUUAUGUGUUUGUUGUGAUGUUUCCAAAAUGUUGUCCUUUGUUCAUAAUUGUGCAUAUCGUUCAUCAGAAAAGACCACAUGAUAUAAAUUUGUGUAUGUUUGGUGUUUGUUUUUGCAUUUUAAACAAUUGCGGUAGUUUUUUUGUUUUUAGACUUUUGUUGUUUGAUGCAUUUUGGAGAAUUUUGUUGAUUUACCUCGUAGGGAAUGUUCGUGUUUCUGGCUGCAUUUCAGUGAUUUUAGUGAAUACUGGAAUACUCCAUCAGUCUGGAUGGAGAGAUGUGGUGUUCAGGAUGGAGAGAUGUGGUGUUUAGGGUGGAGAGAUGUGGUGUUCAGGAUGGAGAGAUGUGGUGUUUAGGGUGGAGAGAUGUGGUGUUUAGGGUGGAGAGAUGUGGUGUUCAGGGUGGAGAGAUGUGGUGUUCAGGGUGGAGAGAUGUGGUGUUCAGGAUGGAGAGAUGUGGUGUUCAGGAUGGAGAGAUGUGGUGUUCAGGGUGGAUAAAUGUGGUGUUCAGGAUGGAGAGAUGUGGUGUUUAGGGUGGAGAGAUGUGGUGUUCAGGGUGGAUAAAUGUGGUGUUCAGGAUGGAGAGAUGUGGUGUUUAGGGUGGAGAGAUGUGGUGUUCAGGGUGGAGAGAUGUGGUGUUUAGGGUGGAGAGAUGUGGUGUUCAGGAUGAUCAGAUGUGGUGUUCAGGGUGGAGAGAUGUGGUGUUCAGGAUGGAGAGAUGUGGUGUUCAGGAUGGAGAGAUGUGGUGUUCAGGAUGGAGAGAUGUGGUGUUCAGGGAUGAGAGAUGUGGUGUUCAGGAUGAUCAGAUGUGGUGUUCAGGGUGGAGAGAUGUGGUGUUCAGGAUGGAGAGAUGUGGUGUUCAGGGUGGGGAGAUGUGGUGUUCAGGAUGAGAGAUGUGGUGUUCAGGAUGAUCAGAUGUGGUGUUCAGGGUGGAGAGAUGUGGAGUUCAGGAUGGAGAGAUGUGGUGUUCAGGAUGGAGAGAUGUGGUGUUUUUAGUGAAUGGUGGUGUUUGCUGGUGCAUGUACAAGAAUUGUGGUGUUUAUUUAUUUGUUUGGUUUUUAAGCGAAUGUUGUUGUUGGUACAUUUUGGAGAAUGUUUUUAGAGAAAGUCGGUGUUUGUUGGUACAUUUUGGAGAUUUUUUUAGAGAAUGCUGGUGGGUAUUUGGGUUUUAGAGAGCAGAAAACAGGAGGUCUUUGUAGAAAGAGCAAGAAUGGAGGCAAGGCCACCUCUGAGCAGUGUGUGUGUGUGUGUGUGUGUGUGUGUGUGUGUGUGUGUGUGUGUGUGUGUGUAUGCAGGAGGGUAAAAGUCGCUUUGAGCAGGAGAUUAUUGGUGCGCCACAAUUUACAAGAGAUGUGCCGUCAUUAGUUGUGUAGAACCAAACCACUGGGUAAAUCUGCCAUGAAAUACAAGACUGGAGCUGUAAAACCAGAGCAUGUGCAUCAAACUCGAACCAGAUGAGGAACACUGAAGGACACUGUGUGUGUAUGUGUGUGUGUGUGUGUGUGUCUGUCUGUCUGUGAAAGUGAAAAGCAAGAACAAGAAUGAGAGAGGGUUGCGUGUAAUUACAGCAUAAGUGUAUGUGUAUAAGUGUGUGUGUGUGUGUGUGUGUAUGUGUAUGUGUGUGUGUGUUACACUCUAUAAAAUAAUGGCUCUCAGAAGCACCCACAGG
ensembl:lncRNA